AGGACGAACGCUGGCGGCGCGCUUAACGACAUGCAAGUCGAGCGAGAACCAGGCCUUCGGGCCUGGGGAAAGCGGCGAACGGGUGAGUAACACGUGGGUAACCCACCCUUGGUACCGGGAUAGCCCGAGGAAACUCGGAUUAAUACCGGAUGGCCCAACAGCUUCUCGGAGCGGUUGGAAAAGGUAGCUUCGGCCUCCGACCAAGGACGGGCCCGCGGUGGAUUAGCUUGUUGGUGAGGUAACGGCUCACCAAGGCUUCGAUCCAUAGCUGGUCUGAGAGGACGAUCAGCCACACUGGGACUGAGACACGGCCCAGACUCCUACGGGAGGCAGCAGUGGGGAAUCUUGCGCAAUGGGCGAAAGCCUGACGCAGCGACGCCGCGUGGGGGAAGAAGGCUUUCGGGUUGUAAACCCCUUUCAGGAAGGACGAAGCCACUCGGGUUAAUAGCCCAGAGGAUGACGGUACUUCCAGAAGAAGCCCCGGCUAACUACGCGCCAGCAGCGCGGUAA
rnacentral:rRNA from 1 species